rnacentral:rRNA from 1 species
CGACAUAAUGCAACUAGCACAAUCUAAUAAUCACCACCACCACCACCACUAAACCCAGCUUUCUUGUAUACGACCGUACCGCAAACCGACACUGGUGCGCGAGAUGAGUAUUCUAAGGCGCUUGAGAGAACUCAGGAGAAGGAACUCGGCAAGUUGACACCGUAACUUCGGAAGAAGGUGUGCCCUAUUAGUGUGUAGUGAACAACGAAGCAUGAAUGGGUUGCAAAAAAUCGGUGGCUGCGACUGUUUAUUAAAAACACAGCACUCUGCAAACACGAAAGUGGACGUAUAGGGUGUGACGCCUGCCCGGUGCUGGAAGAUUAAAUGAUGGGGUGCAAGCUCUUGAUUGAAGUCCCAGUAAACGGCGGCCGUAACAAUAACGGUCCUAAGGUAGCGAAAUUCCUUGUCGGGUAAGUUCCGACCUGCACGAAUGGCGUAACGAUGGCCACACUGUCUCCUCCUGAGACUCAGCGAAGUUGAAAUGUUUGUGAUGAUGCAAUCUCCCCGCGGAAAGACGGAAAGACCCCAUGAACCUUUACUGUAGCUUUGUAUUGGACUUUGAACAGAUCUGUGUAGGAUAGGUGGGAGGCUUUGAAGCAGGGUCGCUAGAUCUUGUGGAGCCAACGUUGAAAUACCACCCUGGUGUGUUUGAGGUUCUAACCUAGGUCCAUUAUCUGGAUCGGGGACAGUGCAUGGUAGGCAGUUUGACUGGGGCGGUCUCCUCCCAAAGCGUAACGGAGGAGUUCGAAGGUACGCUAGUUACGGUCGGACAUCGUGACGAUAGUGCAAUGGCAUAAGCGUGCUUAACUGCGAGACUGACAAGUCGAGCAGAUGCGAAAGCAGGACAUAGUGAUCCGGUGGUUCUGUAUGGAAGGGCCAUCGCUCAACGGAUAAAAGGUACUCUGGGGAUAACAGGCUGAUACCGCCCAAGAGUUCAUAUCGACGGCGGUGUUUGGCACCUCGAUGUCGGCUCAUCUCAUCCUGGGGCUGUAGCCGGUCCCAAGGGUAUGGCUGUUCGCCAUUUAAAGAGGUACGUGAGCUGGGUUUAAAACGUCGUUAGACAGUUUGGUCCCUAUCUUCCGUGGGCGCUGCAGAUUUGAGGAAGCCUGCUCCUAGUACGAGAGGACCGGAGUGGACACACCUCUGGUGUAUCGGUUGUCACGCCAGUGGCAUUGCCGAGUAGCUAAGUGUGGAAGAGAUAACCGCUGAAAGCAUCUAAGCGGGAAACUCGUUUCAAGAUGAGAUCUGCCGGGGCCUUGAGCCCCCUAAAGAGUCGUUCAAGACCAGGACGUUGAUAGGUCAGGUGUGGAAGCGGAA